GGAUGUGAGGGCCACCUGGCUGUGACAUCUGCCACCCCAAAGGUUGACGGCUGUCUGGGUCAGCGCCCCUUCCUGCCUCACUGCUCCACGUGUGCCCCUCCCACAGCUGCACACUGGGUCGCAGAGGACCACCAGCCUUCAAGGAGGACUGGCGCCAUGGCCAGGGGUGUGUGAGUGGCUGCAUUUCUCUGCUAGAACCUCCAAGCACUUAAAAAAUAAGUCUCCCUUCACUGCCCACUGAAUGUGUCCUGAAAUGCUCUCUGUGGCCAAACUCC
rnacentral:snRNA from 1 species